CAGCCCUGUAGGAGACACCUCCAGAGAAAGUAACAGCUCUCAAUUGAUUAGCUGAGGAGACCGAUUUUGUAAAUCACUACUUUUCUAACAACACUGGCACAGAUGGCCAAGCAUUCUCCCUUUUCUCAGAGCUGGUUUUCCAUCCCGGAAAGAGGUCUUACAUAUACAAAGUUACUCUAAUCAGUUGUGAAGACACCAGACAAAUGAGUUACACUGUUUUGGACUCCCCAACACAACCCAGCCACCGGCUGAAUGCCACCAAAUUACCUUCUAGUUAAAGGUUUAUGGAGCAAACGAAUCACCUAUUCAAUAUCUGCUUGAAUUUCUGACUCAAAAUACAUCAGGUAUGUACUGUGUGACUUAAAUAUUGAGUUUAUUUUUAUCAAAUACCUGUCAAGAAAGAAAGUCAAUUCUGAAACAGCAGAAGCUCAAAGUUCUACAGAUGGCUUUCAAAGGAAUUUGAAUUAGACAUCAUUUGAUGUUGCAAAAAACAAUGACAUCUUUUAUAGCUCUAAACAUCAGUUUUUAAAUUAGA
rnacentral:lncRNA from 1 species